AUAAAGUUUUAUUUUGACUUAUUAAUUUAUUAUUAAUUUAUUUUAUAUGUAAAUUUUUGUAAGAUUUUACAUUAAUCUAAAAGAUUAUUGAAAUUUUAUUAUUCGCAGUAAUUAAUAUUAUAGAUUAAAGAAAUUUAGAAUUAGUAAUAUUAAAUUGUAUUGACAAAAUUUGUGCCAGCAGUCGCGGUUAUACAAAAGAUACAAAUAAAUUUUAUUAGUAUAAGUUAAAUAUUUAAUUUAAAUUAAAUUUAAUUGUUAUUUUAUUAGGUGAAAUUUUAAAAUAAUUAUAUUUUUAUGCAAUUGAUUAAUUGAAGCUAUAAAAUUUUAGAAUUAAACUAGGAUUAGAUACCCUAUUAUUUAAAAUGUAAAUUAUAUUUGCUAGAGUAGUAUUAGUUAUGGUCUUGAAACUUAAAAAAUUUGGCGGUAUUUUAGUCUAUUCAGAGGAAUCUGUUUUAUAAUUGAUAAUCCACGAUGGACCUAACUUAAUUUUGUAAUCAGUUUAUAUACCGCCGUUAUUUGAAUAUUUUAUAAGAAUUUAUAAUUUUCAAUAGUUUUAAUAAAAAUUAAUGUCAGGUCAAGGUGUAGCUUAUGAUUAAGUAAUAAUGGAUUACAAUAAAAUUAUUUAUGCGGAUUUAAUAGUGAAAUUUAUUAAUGAAGAUGGAUUUGAUAGUAAAUUUUUAAAGAUUAAAAAAUUGAUUGUAGCUCUAAAAUAUGCACACAUCGCCCGUCGCUCUUAUUAUUAAGAUAAGAUAAGUCGUAACAUAGUAGAUGUACCGGAAGGUGUAUCUAGAAAGAC
rnacentral:ncRNA from 1 species